CCCGCCCCGGCCCGCAGGACACCCCCUCGGAACGCGCGGCCCCCCGGCUAAGUCAUGUUUAACAGCCUCAGAAAUUAUCUUGUCUCCGCGUUCUUUCUUCUGCCGGCGAGCCAGUGUCAUUUGUGGAUUAUUAAAGAAACCUCUCCAUACCUGAUGCAUAAAGUAUAACAUCAAAUAGUAAGGGGUUGACAAUAGGAAUGAUGUCUUUCAAAGAAGCUGUUUCUUGGAGAAAUCUCUGAAUCUGGGCCUAGGGUCAGCACUCAGGGAGAACCAAUCAACAACAACAGUAGGAUGGACUGAAGAGUCUCUUGAG